UAAUCAAUCGGGAAAAUUCGAUAAACUUAGAACGAUACAGAGAAAUUAGCAUGACUCUUGCACAAGGAUGACACGCUCAAAUCGAGAAAUGAUCCAAAUUUAU